rnacentral:ribozyme from 1 species
GCCAUUUUGGCUCAAGGUCCGUAGCCAUUUUGGCUCAAGUCGUGCUCAAGGCUCAAGCCGACUACACUUGGGCUCCAGCAUUC